rnacentral:misc_RNA from 1 species
AAAUACUUCAAUACAUAACAAAUUUUCCUUGUACUAGAUCCUAAUAGAUGAAUCCUCCAUAACAUCUCAAGAAAAAGAACUGAUCUCUAUCAAAAUCAUAUUGUACAGUUUCUGUUUUUGCCUUCACCAAUUUACGAUCUGGCCUCUACAAAAACCCUAUUACAUCAUUUGACCUAUCAAAAUAUCUUAGCAGCAACAAUGAUGCCUAUAAAAUUCUAAAGACGCGAUUAUUUGAUCAUUAGGUCAAAAUAUCUUAGCAGCAACAAUGAUGCCUAUAAAAUUCUAAAGACGCGAUUAUUUGAUCAUUAGG